CCCUUAGAUGUUCUGGGCUGCACGCGCGCUACACUGAUGCGCUCAACGAGUUUUAACCUUGCCUGGAAAGGUUGGGUAAUCUUUUUAAAACGCAUCGUGAUGGGGAUAGAUUAUUGCAAUUAUUAAUCUUCAACGAGGAAUUCCUAGUAAGCGCGAGUCAUCAGCUCGUGCUGAUUACGUCCCUGCCCUUUGUACACACCGCCCGUCGCUCCUACCGAUUGAGUGGUCCGGUGAGGCUUUGGGAUCUGAGCAAAGAGAGCGUUUCGCUCGUUUUGCCCGGAAAACUCAGUCGAACCUUAUCAUUUAGAGGAAGGAGAAGUCGUAACA
rnacentral:rRNA from 1 species